ACGAACGCUGGCGGCGUGCUUCACACAUGCAAGUCGAACGGAAAGGCCCUGCUUUUGUGGGGUGCUCGAGUGGCGAACGGGUGAGUAACACGUGAGUAACCUGCCCUUGACUUUGGGAUAACUUCAGGAAACUGGGGCUAAUACCGGAUAGGAGCUCCUGCUGCAUGGUGGGGGUUGGAAAGUUUCGGCGGUUGGGGAUGGACUCGCGGCUUAUCAGCUUGUUGGUGGGGUAGUGGCUUACCAAGGCUUUGACGGGUAGCCGGCCUGAGAGGGUGACCGACCACAUUGGGACUGAGAUACGGCCCAGACUCCUACGGGAGGCAGCAGUGGGGAAUAUUGCACAAUGGGCGGAAGCCUGAUGCAGCAACGCCGCGUGCGGGAUGACGGCCUUCGGGUUGUAAACCGCUUUCGCCUGUGACGAAGCGUGAGUGACGGUAAUGGGUAAAGAAGCACCGGCUAACUACGUG
rnacentral:rRNA from 1 species